UCUCUCUUUUUCCUAAAGGAGUCCAGCCUUUCAAUUCAACAACCCUCGCAUCCUAAUUUGCUCCCGGACCCUAAGCAAUAGGGAGAACCACCAGGAUGAAGAACAGAGAAGUUACUCCUGGAUCCUCCCCUGCAUGCCAGGAUCUCCCUCACAUCUCAGCUGCCUUCCACCAUCCCUGAAUCACUCUGCCUUCAACCCUUCCCAGCUUGCCUUAGAAACCCAGCAGGGCUA